UAACGUUCCCGGACCUUGUACACACCGCCCGUCAAGCCAUGGAAGUUGGGAGGACCUGAAGCCAGUUGCUGUAAGGCGCUGUUUAGGGUUAAACCAAUGACUGGGGCU
rnacentral:rRNA from 1 species